UACGUAGGGUGCAAGCGUUGUCCGGAAUUAUUGGGCGUAAAGAGCUCGUAGGCGGUCUGUUGCGUCGGCUGUGAAAACCCGGGGCUCAACUCCGGGCCUGCAGCCGAUACGGGCAGACUAGAGUUCGGCAGGGGAGACUGGAAUUCCUGGUGUAGCGGUGAAAUGCGCAGAUAUCAGGAGGAACACCAAUGGCGAAGGCAGCUCGCUGGGACGGUACUGACGCUGAGACGCGAAAGCGUGGGGAGCAAACAGG
rnacentral:rRNA from 1 species